AUCAUGUAGUAAGCAAAAAGUGUUAGUGGCCCUGUAGUUCACCUCCUUCACCAAAGCUCUGUCAGGGACCUACAUGAAGAGUGCCAUCACUCAGAGAGACACUUUGACCUGUCCAGCUCUCUCAUCGGACUCAUAGACAGCAGCUUUGAGAUGGGUUUCAACAAUAACAUUGAGUUGCUUGAGAAUUCAUGUAGUAAAAACCAGAUACAGACUACAGUAACCUGCUGUUCCUGGCUGUGGUCAGCCAUUUUGGGACGAAGCUGCACCGGCCCAGGUUCAUUGCUAUGGGCUGUUUCCUCAUGGCUGUAGGAUCCUUCCUCACAGGCCUGCCACACUUCUUCAUGGGACGGGCUAUCAGGAGAGCCACCCAAUCCCAGAGGGCCAUCGUGGCUUCAUCAGUGAUGCCAGACUUCUGCAGAUGCAGAGAGCUGAGAGAGAAGCCAUGGAAGCAAAGCAAAGAAAGAUAAGUGCUAUCCAUGAGAAUUAUGUCCGGACUGCUCUCAUCGGGGUUGGCAGCACCUUCGCGCACCACUUCGUCCCCUCUAUUCAGUGCAUUCCGCGGCCGAAAGCUCCACCAAGGCCUUUGCCACGAAGGCUUGAACACAUAGCUCUGGCCCCACUGAAGAACGUGGUGGGGGUGGACGGAGCCCAAGUUCGACCCGGAUCUAAACU